rnacentral:misc_RNA from 1 species
ACUCUAGAUAGCGCUAGCGGUCGCCCCAUUACCUCACUGCACAGACCCGUGGAUGAUAUUUUCGGCAGAAUCGAUUAGCCACAAAGAAAUAGGUCACAGAAAGUGGACAAGUUUUAAAGUUCAGGCAUCAACUGGAUAAAGGAAGGAAUUUCACAGUCGAGGUAUUGUAUGGAUAUACUUGAAUAGAUAUACUGUAUAAGAGUUGUGUUAAUAAUGAUGCUAUAAUAAUUAAGUGGAUUUGGGUCUUUGGAUUCAUGCCACAGGUCUUACUUGUUAUUGUUUAUCACUCGGGCUGUUCGAAAUUCCGGAAUACUCGACGGGCGGAUCAUGAAUCUAAAGAGGCGAUUUAUAUUCAUAGAUCAUUGGAUUGACUUGGUUUAGGUAAUGGUCUACUUAUCUAUCAGCACUACUAGUUAAAAAUUGAAUCUCAAAACAGUGUAUCAACAUUGCUUGUGCAUUUUAUACACGUGUCCAAACAAUGAAAGAGGUUCUCUGUAUGCAAAGGGCAAAGUGGGUGUGAACGUAAUGACAUAUCACGCAUUAACUGCAGCGCUGUCUGCCUGCGCAUAUAAAGCAGAUACAAAAAACAUUGUAAUUGUUCUUUACUUCAGACUGAGAUGAAUCUUUCUAUAUCUAUAUUUUCUUGGGUACUCGUCGUUACAAGAAACUGUGAAAAUACAUACCCCCCCCCCCCCCCCCGAAGUAGGGGACCUAACGUUAUAUAUUUUUCUCUGAAGUAUUGGGCGGCACAUGAACGUAUUAGACAAAAAUUGGCCUGGUAAAAAAACGCAUGGACUUGUCAAGCGGAGUGGAUGUAUGGCGGCCAAUUAGAGUCAUGUAUACAUACAGACAGAUAGAUAGAUAGAUAGAUAGAUAGAUAGAUAGAUAAUGGAAAUCAACCUCCGAUUAUUAUGAUAAUUUCAAGCGCAUUUUUAGGGUGGGGUGUUCAAAAAGGGAGGAUUUCAUUCAUGACUAUAAAUUGUUACUCUAUAAAUAUAAGUGAAUACAAAUCUAUACUGUUUUGUUUAUCAUUCUGAAUGUACUUGAAAAGAUUUUUAUUUAUUUUAAAGAAAACGUAUAAAUUUUAUAGUUGAGGAAUUUAAGAGACAGAAUUAGAGAAAGGAGGAAAUAUUAAUGAUUCAAUUAAUGAAGCAAUUAGGUAUUGACAAAACUGGGAAAUCGAUAUUCUAAAAUUGU